GAGGGGAGAGUUGUAUUUUAGCAGCGCUGUGCUGGCGGCAUAGAGACACAUCACCUCCUCGCUGCUGCUCCUGAGUUAAUUAGUCAGCAGUGUCCUGGCCGGGAGCGAUUGAAGACACUCAGCAGCAGCAGUGAGGGGGUGAUGUGUCUUUGAAUACGCCGGGGUGGGCUGCGGGUGUCUGGCGGGGUCUGGAUGGAUACAGCUGUUUCCUUCCCGGCAAUCAGCACUGAUGGCUGACAGAAAGUUGCAGCAGCUCCAAGUCCUCACCACUACUUGUGUACUACAGCAGCUCCAUGAGAUGGUUUACCUUGGAUGCAGAGACCUUCACACCGUAUGUGGACCUUUUCUCGGACCCCCCCUCCCAUUACUAAUGGAAGGCUAAAAGGCUAAUGUGGAACCUCCCCUCUGGUGUAACAUGUAGACUCUCAGGUUUACCUUGGAUGAGAGACAUUCACCCCAAAUGUGGACUUCUUCUCGGGAGCCCCCCACCCAACACCCCUGGAAGGCCUAUUUCUAUUGUAGAACCUCUCCCCUCUGGUGUAACGUGUAGAACCACACUAAUCUACCAUCUAUAACCCACUGUUAUGUCAUAUCUAUGACAAAUACUAAUCUAAA